rnacentral:rRNA from 1 species
UACGAAGGGGGCUAGCGUUGUUCGGAAUCACUGGGCGUAAAGCGCACGUAGGCGGAUGUGCCAGUCAGGGGUGAAAUCCCGGGAGCUCAACUCCGGAACUGCCUCUGAUACAGCACGUCUUGAGUUCGAGAGAGGUGGGUGGAAUUCCUAGUGUAGAGGUGAAAUUCGUAGAUAUUAGGAAGAACACCGGUGGCGAAGGCGGCCCACUGGCUCGAUACUGACGCUGAGGUGGCGAAAG